AGCAGCCGCGGUAAUUCCAGCUCCAAUAGCGUAUAUUAAAGUUGUUGCAGUUAAAAAGCUCGUAGUUGAAUUUCGGGAUCAAUAUAUUGGUCGUGCCUUCGGUAUGCACUGGUAUUAUUGAUUUCUACCUUCUGACGAACUAUGAUGUCAUUAAUUUGGUGUCAUGGGGAAUCAGGACUGUUACUUUGAAAAAUUAGAGUGUUUAAAGCAGGCACACGCUUGAAUACAUUAGCAUGGAAUAAUGAAAUAGGACGUUUGACCCUAUUUUGUUGGUUUUUAGGAUCGACGUAAUGAUUAAUAGGGAUAGUUGGGGGCAUUAGUAUUCAAUUGUCAGAGGUGAAAUUCUUGGAUUUAUUGAAGACUAACUACUGCGAAAGCAUUUGCCAAGGAUGUUUUCAUUAAUCAAGAACGAAAGUUAGGGGAUCGAAGACGAUCAGAUACCGUCGUAGUCUUAACCAUAAACUAUGCCGACUAGGGAUCGGAUGAUGUUAAUUUUUUAAUGUACUCAUUCGGCGCCUUA
rnacentral:rRNA from 1 species